AUUGAACGCUGGCGGCAUGCCUUACACAUGCAAGUCGAACGGCAGCACGGGUGCUUGCCCCUGGUGGCGAGUGGCGAACGGGUGAGUAAUACAUCGGAACAUGUCCUGUAGUGGGGGAUAGCCCGGCGAAAGCCGGAUUAAUACCGCAUACGAUCUACGGAAGAAAGCGGGGGACCUUCGUGCCUCGCGCUAUAGGGUUGGCCGAUGGCUGAUUAGCAAGGUGGUGGGGUAAAGGCCUACCAAGGCGACGAUCAGUAGCUGGUCUGAGAGGACGACAACUCACAUUGGGAGUGAGACACGGCCCAGACCCCUACGGGAGGCAGCAGUGGAGAAUUUUGGGCAAUGGGCGAAAGCCUGAUACAGCAAUCCCGCGUGUGUGCAGAAGGCCUUCGGGUUGUAAAGCACUUUUGUCCGGAAAGAAAUACUUGGCCCUAAUACGGUCGGGGGAUGACGGUACCGGAAGAAUAAGCACCGGCUAACUACGUG
rnacentral:rRNA from 1 species